UACAGAGGUCCCAAGCGUUGUUCGGAUUCACUGGGCGUAAAGGGUGCGUAGGCGGUCGGGUAAGUCUGACGUGAAAUCUUCAAGCUUAACUUGGAAACUGCGUCGGAUACUAUUCGGCUCGAGGAAUGGAGGGGAGACUGGAAUACUUGGUGUAGCAGUGAAAUGCGUAGAUAUCAAGUGGAACACCAGUGGCGAAGGCGAGUCUCUGGACAUUUCCUGACGCUGAGGCACGAAAGCCAGGGGAGCAAACGGG
rnacentral:rRNA from 1 species